rnacentral:tRNA from 1 species
GUUGUUUUGGCAGAAUAGUGCUAUUGAUUUAGAAUCAAUAUAUGUAUUUAACUUACAAAUAACA